ACUCGAGUGGCGAACGGGUGAGUAACACGUGGGUGAUCUGCCCUGCACUUCGGGAUAAGCUUGGGAAACUGGGUCUAAUACCGGAUAGGAGCCAUCUUUAGUGUGGUGGUUGGAAAGUUUUUUCGGUGUAGGAUGAGCUCGCGGCCUAUCAGCUUGUUGGUGGGGUAAUGGCCUACCAAGGCGGCGACGGGUAGCCGGCCUGAGAGGGUGGACGGCCACAUUGGGACUGAGAUACGGCCCAG
rnacentral:rRNA from 1 species